UACGAAGGGGGCUAGCGUUGUUCGGAAUUACUGGGCGUAAAGCGCGCGUAGGCGGUCUUAUAAGUCAGUGCUGAAAUAUCCCGGCUUAACCGGGAGGGUGGCAUUGAUACUGUAGGACUUGAGUAGAGUUGAGGUUGGCGGAAUUGACGGUGUAGCGGUGAAAUGCUUAGAUAUCGUCAAGAACACCGAUAGUGAAGACAGCUAACUAAGCUCUAACUGACGCUGAGGCACGAAAGUGUGGGGAUCAAACAGG
rnacentral:rRNA from 1 species